rnacentral:rRNA from 1 species
AGCGAACGCUGGCGGCAGGCUUAACACAUGCAAGUCGAACGGUCCUUCGGGAUAGUGGCGGACGGGUGAGUAACACGUGGGAACGUACCCUUAGGUCCGGAACAACACAGGGAAACUUGUGCUAAUACCGGAUAAGCCCUUCGGGGGAAAGAUUUAUCGCCUUUGGAGCGGCCCGCGUCUGAUUAGCUUGUUGGUGAGGUAAUGGCUCACCAAGGCUACGAUCAGUAGCUGGUCUGAGAGGAUGGCCAGCCACACUGGGACUGAGACACGGCCCAGACUCCUACGGGGGGCAGCAGUGGGGAAUCUUGCGCAAUGGGCGAAAGCCUGACGCAGCCAUGCCGCGUGGAUGAUGAAGGUCUUAGGGUUGUAAAAUCCUUUCACCGGGGACGAUAAUGACGGUACCCGGAGAAGAAGCCCCGGCUAACUUCGUGCCAGCCGCCGCCGUAA